AAUGGUAGGUUAGUUUGUCUGAUAGCUAGCUCUCAGCAACUCUCAUAUUGUCGCCCGCUAAAGCUAAGCAGGGCUGUGCCUGGUCAGUAGCUGGAUGGGAGACCACAUGAGAAAGGUUUCUGCUGGAA
rnacentral:rRNA from 1 species